rnacentral:hammerhead_ribozyme from 1 species
AUCUAGCUGACGAGUUCCAAAUAGGACGAAACGCGAGUCAAACUGGAU